AAGCGCGCGCAGGCGGUCCUUUAAGUCUGAUGUGAAAGCCCACGGCUCAACCGUGGAAGGUCAUUGGAAACUGGGGGACUUGAGUGCAGAAGAGGUUAGUGGAAUUCCAAGUGUAGCGGUGAAAUGCGUAGAGAUUUGGAGGAACACCAGUGGCGAAGGCGACUAACUGGUCUGUAACUGACGCUGAGGCGCGAAAGCGUGGGGAGCAAACAGGAUUAGAUACCCUGGUAGUCCACGCCGUAAAC
rnacentral:rRNA from 1 species